AUUGAACGCUGGCGGCAGGCCUAACACAUGCAAGUCGAGCGCGCGGCGGACGGGUGAGUAGUGCCUGGGAAUUGCCCAAUAGCGGGGGAUAUCAGUUAGAAACGACUUCUAACACCGCAUACGCUUCGAACGCACAGGUGGGAUUAGCUAGUUGGUGGGGUAAUGGCGCACCAAGGCGACGAUCCCUAGCUGGUCUGCGAGGAUGAGCAGCCACACUGGAACUGAGACACGGUCCAGACGCCUACGUGAGGCAGCAGUGGGGAAUAUUGAACAAUGGGGGAAACCCUGAUGCAGCCAUGCCGCGUGUGUGAAGAAGGCCUGAGGGUUGUAAAGCACUUUCAGCGAGGAGGCGUUACUCGCAGAAGAAGCACCGGCUAACUCCGUGCCAGCAGCCGCGGUAAUUC
rnacentral:rRNA from 1 species